rnacentral:rRNA from 1 species
AGAACGAACGCUGGCGGCAUGCCUAACACAUGCAAGUCGAACGAGACCUUCGGGUCUAGUGGCGCACGGGUGCGUAACGCGUGGGAAUCUGCCCUUGGGUUCGGAAUAACUUCGGGAAACUGAAGCUAAUACCGGAUAAUGACUUCGGUCCAAAGAUUUAUCGCCCAAGGAUGAGCCCGCGUAAGAUUAGCUAGUUGGUGGGGUGACGGCCUACCAAGGCGACGAUCGGUAGCUGGUCUGAGAGGAUGAUCAGCCACACUGGGACUGAGACACGGCCCAGACUCCUACGGGAGGCAGCAGUGGGGAAUAUUGGACAAUGGGCGCAAGCCUGAUCCAGCAAUGCCGCGUGCGUGAUGAAGGCCUUCGGUUGUAAAGCGCUUCGCCCACGACGAUGAUGACGGUAGUGGGAGAAGAAGCCCCGGCUAACUCCGCGCCAGCAGCCGC